rfam:Gilliamella apicola SCGC AB-598-I20 SCG598I20_12801, whole genome shotgun sequence.
CAUUAAUUAACGUUAUAACACACACAUAUCAUUACUCUUUGCCGGGGUGCCUUUUGCUUAAAGUAAUAAGGUCGGCUAAAGCGGAUAUGUGGAGGCAUAAC